rnacentral:lncRNA from 10 species
CAGAGCUGCUGCUAGUCUUUACCGAGCCUUAGUGCAUAUUAGAAGGUACCUUCUCUCUUGGUGGCAGCCCUGUGGGCAGACAGAUGGAUAUAUCCCAGACGGGUGGAUUCUUAUUCCAGAGAAUAUAGCUUGACCAAGAGCAUGUGGUUUGGAUUUUAGGCAUAGCUGGCCUCCUUAGCCAGGCAUCUUUGUACAGUGUGGAAAGCAUACAUCUGUUGUUGUGUCUCUCCUGGGGCUCUUGUAUAGCUCUGCCAUCAGCAACUUGUGUGACUUCAUGUCUCCAGCCCUGGGUUUCCUCAAUGUGGAGAAAAGAGAACUGUCUCUGGGGCCAGGAUGCCUGGGUUGGAGUCUUCUAAGUCACAGUGUGACUUUCAGCUAAUCUGUAUCUCUGCAGGCCUUAAUUUUCUGGUUUGGAAAAUGGAGGCCUCUAUUGGAGCUACUAACCAAAAAAUGAAAAGGAACUAGACCCAGAGAGGAUCAAAUGUGUAAAUGCCAAUUCAGAGAGGUGAGCAAAGCAGGAAGAAAGAAAGAAGGAGGGGAGGUCAAGAUGAGAACUCUGCUGACUCCUGAUUCUCCAAGAUUCCAUUUUCCUGCUGCAAACUAGAGAUCCUGUCUCAUCUUGGAUGUAAUUCCUACAGUUAGACUUCUAUCAAAGGGUCAUUGUGCCAACUGGAAUUCUUUCCAAUUCGAGAAAUAAGAAUUUGAGGAAUCUCUAAGGGUAGAAAUGACUUCUAUCGGGAGACAGCACACUAACGCAAGAGGGCCAAUGGGGUUCUGCCACCUGUAUUUGUAAAUAAAAUUUCACUGGUACACAGCCAUGCCUGUUCACUAUUGUCUAUGGUUACUUUGUGUUACAAAGGCCAAGUUGAGUAAUUGCAGCAGAGGUUAUGUGGCAGCAAAGCCUAAGAGAUUUGUUAUCUGGCCUCUUACCGAAAAAGUUUACCUAUCCUUGUUGUGUAUCAUUCUGAUUCACAAUUUAUCACCCUCAGCACUAUUGACAUGCAGGGCUGGGUGAUCUUUCCUGUGUAUGUUGGGGGAGUGUCUUGUGCUUUAUAGGAUGUUUAGUGGCAUCCUUGGCCUCCUCUAUGCACUACAUACCAGAAGACCCCCUACCCUCACCCCAGUGGUGACCAUCAAAAAGGCCUCCAGAUGUUCCCAAAUGUCCUGGUUGAGAACCAUGAUUCCAGCUUGACAGAUUCUGUCUUUUCAACUGGAGAGGAGAGGAGUCCAUACCUACUUCAUGCCUUAAGAAUCUCUUCCAUCAGAAAACUUUGCACUAGAACAUUCUUCCAAGGAAUACAAUGUCUUCUGCUAUUAUAUCAAUUCCUGUCUGUCCUUUCAGUUUUUAAAAGAGGCAGAACACUACUGAUCUCCAUUGCUUGAAUAGAAGUUUCUCUAGAAUCUUUGUACUUACUAAGAAGUCAUUCCUCCCCUCAAUAUUAUUCAGUGCUACCGUCACUUCAAGCCCACAUAAAUGGAAUAAUUUGGAUUUUCUACUACAGAAAAAGUAGCAGUUGUGUACAUGCAAGCUAUUAUCACUGUUACAGUUCUUCCUCUGACUUAACCUGAGACCGGCAUGUACUGAUCUGACUUGUUUGAGUUUUAUUGGCACUUAAAACCGUGAGAAGAUAACUGAUUCAUGACAGCAGA